UUAUCAAAUAAAGGCCUCUCACCUGGGUGAAUGAGAAGAGCUACUGAACUGCUUUGGAAAAGAAGGCCAGAGCUACAUAGAUUUUUUUGCUUUUUGUUUUUUGAGAUGGGGUCUCGCUCUGUUGCCCAGGCUGGAGUGCAGUGACAACAUCUCGGCCCACUGCAGCCUCGACCUCUCAUGCCCAAGUGAUCUUCUCACUUCAGCCCUCUGAAAAGCUGGGACUACAGGCAUGCACCACCACACCUGGCUAAUUUUUGGAUUUUUUUUGUAGAGACAGAGUCUCCCCUGUGUUGCCCAGGCUGGUGUCUAAUUCCUGGGCUUAAGCGAUCCACCUGCCUUGGCCUCCUAAAGUGCUGGGAUUACAGGCGUGAGCCAGCAUGCCUGGCCAGAGCUACAUUGUUAAUUCACACAAAACAAACCAAUGGAUUCUUUUUUAUGUUCCAGCCAUCGCUACGACCGUCCAGACCCAGGAGAUUCCUGGAGGGUCCCAGCUUUACGCAGACCUGGAGUGCCACCCAGAUGCUGAUACAGAUGGCCAGAGAGAGUGUUUGCUCAAGGUCACACAGUAAGAGGUGGAAGUUGGUAUUUCCAUUCCAGCCAAUCUAUCUGAUUACAAAGGGAUCUCCUCACAGUACCUGGGCAUUGCUGAAGGAACAAAGAAUAAAGAGUGUGAGAGAGAGUAUGUGUAUAUGUGUGUAAUUUUCAAAGAGUGUUUGAAUAAUAUAGGGUAUUUUCUCUUUGGAAAUAAUCAGGACCAAUAACGUGUGCUGCCCUUUUGGGCUUUGGGGAGAAAGGAGCCAUGUCUCCAGUAGGUUUGCCAUUGUGAGAUACACAGUCAAUAUGCUUAGAUUCCCCCUUGACAAGGCCUACCAGGCCUCUGGCUGCUCACCAUGUUGUUCCAGAGUGCGAUGGCCAUCUCAGCAUGCCCACGUUCUGAGAAGUGGAAGCAGUCCUCGGAGAAGAAGGGACUUCUGAGUUCCAGUCACAGUCCGGUCCCCACAAAAAGGAGGAGAACCUGGAGAUGCCGUCCUGGGGAUGGAGAGAGAAGCUACUCAACCCUCCUGGCAAGGCUGCACAGAUCGGGCCUAGUCCUACUGCCUUGGAUUGGCUGUGACAGGAGUCAACUCACCUUAGGCGAAAGUGACUUGAAGGGGCUACUCUAGUGGGCUGGAUGCAUGCUUUUAUUCUCCACCCAUUCAUGGCUACCUGCAUUGCAAGGCCUAAUGCUGGUUCUCAGGAUCAGAGAUGAGUUGAACCCAGCGGCUCCUGGUGGGAGAAGCUCCCUGUCUGCAUAGCUCCACUCAGUCCCAUUCCAAAGCCUCUGCAAGGCUGGGUCUGAGCCACUGACCAGAUUGCCUGGGUCAAAGGCCUCCCCUGCUCUCAUGCAUGAAUAGGUCAAUUAAAACAGAGGGCUGUGGGUCAGAUGGGGAGCAUCUCAACACCGGCUCCCCAGACGCCCGUGAAUUGUAGGAGA